UAUGAAGGGGGCUAGCGUUGCUCGGAAUUACUGGGCGUAAAGCGCCCGUAGGCGGAUUGUUAAGUCGGGGGUGAAAUCCUGGAGCUCAACUCCAGAACUGCCUUCGAUACUGGCGAUCUAGAGUCCGGGAGAGGUGAGUGGAACUGCGAGUGUAGAGGUGAAAUUCGUAGAUAUUCGCAAGAACACCAGUGGCGAAGGCGGCUCACUGGCCCGGUACUGACGCUGAGGUGCGAAAGCGUGGGGAGCAAACAGG
rnacentral:rRNA from 1 species